UCGUAUGUUUCAGUAUCAGCAACCUUUCCAUCUUAUUUAUUUUUUAUAGGUUUUCUUCUUCCAAAUGGAAACCGUUUUACUACUGAGCUAUGCUGUUCUUAAUCAAUAAUAUGACGUAGAUGCACUAGUCCUGCCUAUUUGAUUGGUUCCUGACGUGGCCAUUUGGUUUAACAUAAAGUGCAUAAACUAGCUCUGUCUGGCUGAACGCAGCCCGGAAUUCACCGACAGCGGACGGGGCUAAUGGGAUAGGUACAACAAGAAAAAACCUAGAAGAAAAAGAAAAAGAACAACAACGACUACAACGACAUCAAGAAAAAAGAAAAAAAGAAAGAAAGAAAGAAAGACACGCGCUCCCAUUAUCGUCCAAAAUCCACGAACAGCGAUUCAUCCCCCGAACAGAGGACAUAUCUCAAGUACGAGACACAAGCACCUCAACAAGUGAUGCUCAGUCUUGUGUGCCUUUUUGUGUCCGUUAUAGCUGGAUUACAUUUCACGACGUAGAAGGGAAACAAUGUCGAAAGAUUAAACAUACUAGAGCGACAUUCCCGAGAAAUUCACUGCGAUUUUUAGAUAUUUUGACUUAUUUUUGGUUAUUUUACUCGUGUAAAAACAGCGCAAACGCAGUUAAUGAAGAUUGCCUGAAACGUUAUCUACUAUACACUGUACUGUUAGAAGAUCACGAAGAGAACAUUGCUUUAAAGUGUAACCCUGUGCUAAUUUUAAUAAUAGCAGCUUUGUUCCAUAAUAUGUAUGUUACUUGACUUCUGUGUGCUACACAUUAGCUUAUGUUAUGUAUUGACGUUUGAGACCCAUCUCCGUUAAAAA